GGUUACUCUGAGUGACUUUCGCUAAGAAAGUCUUUUGGCACCUCUAAAAAGGGUGCAGAAUAAGGGGUGGGCAAGUCUGGUGUCAGCCGCCGCGGUAAUACCAGCACCCCGAGUGGUCGGGACGAUUAUUGGGCCUAAAGCAUCCGUAGCCGGUUCUGCAAGUCCCCCGUUAAAUCCAGCUGCUCAACAGAUGGGCCGCGGAGGAUACUACAGAGCUAGGAGGCAGGAGAGGCAAGCGGUACUCAGUGGGUAGGGGUAAAAUCCGUUGAUCCAUUGAAGACCACCAGUGGCGAAGGCGGCUUGCCAGAAUGCGCUCGACGGUGAGGGAUGAAAGCUGGGGGAGCAAACCGGAUUAGAUACCCGGGUAGUCCCAGCUGUAAACGAUGCAGACUCGGUGAUGGGUUGGCUUCGCGCUAACCCAGUGCCGCAGGGAAGCCGUUAAGUCUGCCGCCUGGGUAGUACGGUCGCAAGACUGAAACUUAAAGGAAUUGGCGGGGGAGCACCACAAGGGGUGAAGCCUGCGGUUCAAUUGGAGUCAACGCCGGGAAUCUUACCGGGGGCGACAGCAGAAUGAAGGUCAAGCUGAAGACUUUACCAGACAAGCUGAGAGGAGGUGCAUGGCCGUCGCCAGCUCGUGCCGUGAGGUGUCCUGUUAAGUCAGGUAACGAGCGAGACCCCUGCUUCUAGUUGCUACUCCUGUUCUCCGGAAUAGGAGGGCUAAUUAGAAGGACUGCCGCCGCUAAGGCGGAGGAAGGAGGGGGCUACGGCAGGUCAGUAUGCCCCGAAACCCUCGGGCCACACGCGGGCUGCAAUGGUAAGUACAAUGGGUACCAAUUCCGAAAGGAGGUGGCAAUCUCGCAAAACUUACCUCAGUUAUGAUUGAGGGCUGAAACUCGCCCUCAUGAAUAUGGAAUCCCUAGUAACCGCGUGUCAUCAUCGCGCGGUGAAUACGUCCCUG
rnacentral:rRNA from 1 species